rnacentral:sRNA from 1 species
AAAUCUAACGUCGCACACAUAUCGACACGCUUGUCUGGGUGCUCGCUUUAGCGGGUUGACUGGUGGGAUAUGUGGAGGCUUAAC